UGGGGAAUUUUGGACAAUGGGCGAAAGCCUGAUCCAGCAAUGCCGCGUGUGUGAAGAAGGCCUUCGGGUUGUAAAGCACUUUUGUCCGGAAAGAAAUCCUUGGCUCUAAUACAGUCGGGGGAUGACGGUACCGGAAGAAUAAGCACCGGCUAACUACGUGCCAGCAGCCGCGGUAAUACGUAGGGUGCAAGCGUUAAUCGGAAUUACUGGGCGUAAAGCGUGCGCAGGCGGUUUGCUAAGACCGAUGUGAAAUCCCCGGGCUCAACCUGGGAACUGCAUUGGUGACUGGCAGGCUAGAGUAUGGCAGAGGGGGGUAGAAUUCCACGUGUAGCAGUGAAAUGCGUAGAGAUGUGGAGGAAUACCGACGGCGAAGGCAGCCCCCUGGGCCAAUACUGACGCUCAUGCACGAAAGCGUGGGGGAGCAAACAGGAUUAGAUACCCUGGUAGUCCACGCCCUAAACGAUGUCAACUAGUUGUUGGGGAUUCAUUUCCUUAGUAACGUAGCUAACGCGUGAAGUUGACCGCCUGGGGAGUACGGUCGCAAGAUU
rnacentral:rRNA from 1 species